UGUUGGGUGUGUUUGGUUGAAUAAUAACAUUUGUCUGAUCGCGUUGGUUUUUCCAGCGACAUGUCAUUCAAGUUUCUGCCCUAUCAGCUAGACGGUAGGUUAUUAGCCUACCGUGGCGGUGACGGGUAACGGGGAAUUUUGGUUCGAU
rnacentral:rRNA from 1 species